GGCCAUCUGGCUGGGACAUCUGUCACCUAUUGAUGGACAGCACUGAUUUGGCUGACCUGGCUGGCUCAGCAGGUGCUCCUUUCCACC
rnacentral:sRNA from 1 species